CGGGAAAGCGCAAGGGGUAAGAGCGCCUGUCUGUGGAACAGGAGGUCGGUGGUUCGAGCCCCUCACGUCACCGG
rnacentral:tRNA from 1 species